UGAAAUCACGGAAGCGUGAAAAGUGUUACAGUCGGUGUUUUUACUGCUGGUGUCAAGUUUUAUGGGGGUUAUUAUCGGAUUAACGGUUCUUUUAUGAUAAAGAACACUCAAUUAUGUAACACUUAGGACAAACUGGCACAAAAAUCAAUGAUUAUAACGAUAUAUAAGACGGCUACUCUUUAAUCAAUACCAUGAACACCAGACUGCUGCUGAGGCGAUGCAGCUUCGGAAGGAUAUGGCAGCUGCCAGCAAAUCAUCAAUCUCAAAGAAUGAGGCAGCAGUGAAGGCAGCGCUCGCCAAUGUGCUGUUCCUGGCAAAGAAGAUGGUUAUAUGUGAUUGUUUAUCAUGUGCAAACCAAUGUUUUUAUGCAUAAAUAAAGCUUAUUAAGACUUA